CCUAAUAUCUUAUCUUUCCCAUACCUUUUUUUUUUAAGCAACUUUAUUUUCCCUAAUAAAACCUUGUCAGACUGUCAGGGUGUUUAUUGGCACGUUGAUUUGGUGUCUGUUUUCUCUUACUAGUCUCUAAACUACAUGAGAUUGGACCAUCCUCUUUUGUUUACCAUUCUGGACUUAGGUCCUAACACACUGCUUUCACAUAAUAGUAGGUGUUUACUCGUGAAUUCAGUAUUUGAUGAAUAAAUGUAAGAAUGUUUGAACUAGCAUGAUAUUAAUAAAAAAAGGAAGGAAAACAUAAAUAACAAAGCCCUCGAAGAACUGAAUUAGUCAUGGGUUGUUGUGGGGUUGUGAUAGAGCUACUGGGGGAAUCCAGGAAAUGCUUUUAGGCAAUGUACCAGCAAUCUUGUUGUUUUGUUGUUUUUGUUUUUAAUCUGAAUUAUUCCCAGUAUGUGGAAGAGAUACUUGUAGUAUCUACCCAAUAUUUGGGAGUGACAUAGAACACACAUGAUAUGCACAUGAUAACCAUAGCUUUUCCUAGUUCUGGUGAAGAGAGCCAGGUGAAGACUAAUUCCUAGGAUCUAAAAACUCCAUUCCAGCAGAGAGUCUGAAGAAGUUUCCUUGUAUAAGAUCAUCCAUGGAAGAUCACUCAUCUGUGAGUUAGUGAAACAAUUCCUGUUACUGUUUAGCUAUAAAAAUCACUCACUGUUUUGAGUCCAUAAGAUUGUGGGCUUUAAUGUUUAAUUAUUAACAGCCUUGUCAAAACUGAAACAACUAGGAAGAUAACAUUAAAACUUUCAGUAAUGUUGUUCCUUACAGAUUUUGUUGAGAAUUGAUCAGGCCCUAUUUACUGCAGAGUUCAAGUUACUUAGUCUUUCCUGAGAGAGAUUAUGGUCAAGGCCAACCAGCAAGAAAUUAAAAGGCGGAAAUUGGAAGGAAUUUGAACCAUUCACUUUGACUAUUUGUUAAAUGUCAGUUUAAAAAAAGGCAAAAGUGCUUGAAACAGAUGAUUAAACUGAAAACUUUUGAUGAUAUUUUUCAACUCAUAUCUUUAUUGAGAGUUAAUAGACUACAUGAUGUAAUUUUAUAAUUUAAAUAAAUGUAAUAUAUAGAAAUAUGUAUACCAAAAAGAUUAAACUGGAAGGUGAUUAGUUAUUUAACUAAAUAAAUAAGCACAGGAUUCUUACAAAAUCAAGCUUAAUACAUACCAGUUAUUCGGUGGGUAAAGUUUUCAGUUUGUUGUGUACUUUUGUUCAUUGUGUACUGCUUAGGUACUAAUUGCUUUGUUCUAGAAACUCGUCUAUCAUGUAAAGCUAGGUAUGCCUGAAAUAAUUCAGUUAUGGCAAAGUCAGACUAGUUAUUUGCUGGGGAUAUUUCUGUAUCUGUGUGUAUCUUCCAUAAGAGGGCAGCAAAGGACCAUCCUAAUUAGUUCUUAUGCAAUGUCAUGGAAGAGAUUGGCUCCCAGUGUAAUCUUCCAGGUAGAAGGGAAAAGAGUUUUACUUUGUUUCUAAGUUGUCUUAUAUGGUCUAAAAUAUUUUUUUCUUUGUACUGCAUAGUAGAAUAUCUGACAGGGACUGAAGAAUUAGUGAUGGCCUGGUUGUUAAGUGUGUGGCUCUGGGUCAGUUGUCAAGAGUUUGAUGGGCUGGGGAUGUGGCUCAAGCGGUAGCGCGCUCGCCUGGCAUGUGUGCGGCCCGGGUUCGAUCCUCAGCACCACAUACAAACAAAGAUGUUGUGUCCGCCGAGAACUAAAAUAAAUAAAUAAAUAUUAAA
rnacentral:lncRNA from 1 species